CGGGGUGUAGCACAGCUUGGUAGUGCGCCUGCUUUGGGAGCAGGAGGUCGCUGGUUCGAAUCCAGUCACCCCGACCA
rnacentral:tRNA from 1 species